rnacentral:rRNA from 1 species
GGUUAAGUUAGAAAGGGCGCACGGUGGAUGCCUUGGCACUAGGAGCCGAAGAAGGACGGGACUAACACCGAUAUGCUUUGGGGAGCUGUACGUAAGCGUUGAUCCAGAGAUUUCCGAAUGGGGGAACCCACUAUCUUUAGUCGGAUAGUAUCCUUACGUGAAUACAUAGCGUGAGGAAGGCAGACCCAGGGAACUGAAACAUCUAAGUACCUGGAGGAAGAGAAAGAAAAAUCGAUUUCCUGAGUAGCGGCGAGCGAAACGGAAAGAGCCCAAACCAAGAAGCUUGCUUCUUGGGGUUGUAGGACACUCUAUACGGAGUUACAAAAGAAAGUUAUAAAUGAAGCGGUCUGGAAAGGCCCGCCAAAGACGGUAACAGCCCGGUAGUUGAAAUAGCUUUCCCUCCAGAGUGGAUCCUGAGUACGGCGGAACACGUGAAAUUCCGUCGGAAUCCGGGAGGACCAUCUCCCAAGGCUAAAUACUCCCUAGUGACCGAUAGUGAACCAGUACCGUGAGGGAAAGGUGAAAAGCACCCCGGAAGGGGAGUGAAACAGUUCCUGAAACCGUGUGCCUACAAGUAGUUAGAGCCCGUUAAUGGGUGAUAGCGUGCCUUUUGUAGAAUGAACCGGCGAGUUACGAUUUGUUGCAAGGUUAAGCGGAAAAAGCGGAGCCGUAGCGAAAGCGAGUCUGAAUAGGGCGCAUAAGUAACAGGUCGUAGACCCGAAACCAGGUGAUCUACCCAUGUCCAGGAUGAAGGUAAGGUAAUACUUACUGGAGGUCCGAACCCACGCACGUUGAAAAGUGCGGGGAUGAGGUGUGGGUAGCGGAGAAAUUCCAAUCGAACUUGGAGAUAGCUGGUUCUCUCCGAAAUAGCUUUAGGGCUAGCCUCGAGGUAAAGAGUCAUGGAGGUAGAGCACUGUUUGGACUAGGGGCCCUUCUCGGGUUACCGAAUUCAGAUAAACUCCGAAUGCCAUGUACUUAUACUCGGGAGUCAGACUGCGAGUGAUAAGAUCCGUAGUCGAAAGGGAAACAGCCCAGACCACCAGUUAAGGUCCCCAAAUAUAUGUUAAGUGGAAAAGGAUGUGGGGUUGCUUAGACAACCAGGAUGUUGGCUUAGAAGCAGCCACCAUUGAAAGAGUGCGUAAUAGCUCACUGGUCGAGUGACCCCGCGCCGAAAAUGUACCGGGGCUAAACAUAUUACCGAAACUGUGGAUGAACCUCUUUAGAGGUUCGUGGUAGGAGAGCGUUCUAAGGGCGGUGAAGUCAGACCGGAAGGACUGGUGGAGCGCUUAGAAGUGAGAAUGCCGGUAUGAGUAGCGAAAGAAGGGUGAGAAUCCCUU